UUCCGCGUGUGCUUCCGAUAUAUGCUAUUUAUUGUUCAUACUGCCCUUUUGUACUCUGGUGUUAUGGGAUAAUGUGAACCUUUGCCAGAAAUGGUAAAGGGAGUUAUGCAUAGAGCCUGUGAUGCUCUACCGGCCCCCUCUGACUUCACCUAGACGUGGGUGGAUGGAGCUCCCAAACGUGGGAGACUUCUGUCUGGUGGUCAUUCAGAAAUGGAUGAAUCACAUUCUGUCUGUGGUCCCACUACACCUUCUGUAUGUUUGAUAUGAUAUCCAGAGCUUUGGUUAUGUGUUUCUGUACAUGCUUUGGAUAAGAAUGAAAUGA
rnacentral:lncRNA from 1 species